rnacentral:rRNA from 1 species
CCAAUAGCGUAUAUUAAAGUUGUUGCAGUUAAAAAGCUCGUAGUUGAAUUUCGGGAUCUAUAUAUCGGUCGUGCAAUUGGUACGUACGGGUGUCAUUGGUUUCUCCUUUCUGACGAACCAUGAUGUCAUUAAUUUGGUGUUAUGGGAAGUUAGGACGGUUACUUUGACAAAAUUAGAGUGUUUAAAUCAGGCUUUUAGCUUGAAUACAUUAGCAUGGAAUACUGCACUAGGACGUUCGAACCUAUUUUGUUGGUUUCUAGGAUCAACGUAAUGAUUAAUAGGGAUAGUUGGGGGCAUUAGUAUUCAAUUGUCAGAGGUGAAAUUCUUGGAUUUAUUGAAGACUAACUACUGCGAAAGCAUUUGCCAAGGAUGUUUUCAUUAAUCAAGAACGAAAGUUAGGGGAUCGAAGACGAUCAGAUACCGUCGUAGUCUUAACCAUAAACUAUGCCGACUAGGGAUCGGAUGAUGUUAAUUUUUUAAUGACUCAUUCGGCGCCUUACG